rnacentral:rRNA from 1 species
GCGAAAUAGGGAAGCAGGAGAAGGAUGAAAAAGGGGUUAAGUGAGGUGGCUUAGAGAGGUCAGCGUACCUGGUGGCGAGAUUCGGUUCGGUACCAUCGGUGUUCUUCCUUACAAUCGAAGUCAAAAUCGCGGCGGCGACGUCCACGUUCCGAACGGGCGCCCCGUACGGCUACGACGCUGAUUGGACAGCGUAGGCCGCUCCGCUGGUACGCCCGACGCGACGCCCCGUAGGGCUACAACGCCGGUUGGGCAGCAUAGGCCGCUGCCGCUGGUGCGCUCAACGCUACGUCGCCCCCGUUUAACGACGUAGGAUCAUACCGUCACGACCUUGGCCGCAGGUCAAAACGAUGUUGGCCGUUUCUCUUAUGACGCCGGCACCGCACGACGCAGGCCGUCGUGGUCUACGACCCUGGCCGAUACUCCUUACGAUGUAGGUACCAAACCUCUACGACCUUGGCUGCUGAGUGCCACUAAGUUAGUCGGCUGGCUGCCGCCUCCGCCGCACCUAGCAAGUAGGAACGAGUAUGACACGUUCAGUUCCACGCGGUCGUCGGAACGUUGAUCGUGCGACAAGCCGUAGAUGAAGGUUGGCUCAAAAGAAGUACGCUGCUAGCAGGGUACGUUACACUCCAACUUUAAGUUAUUCGACUGGCCUCUGUGACACUGGAAACUCCGAGGCCCCCUGGGAUGUGAUACCUCCAGCUCUUUCCUGCGUUAUACAGCGUCUAACCUCCUCUACCUACCCGGGCAAAGGAGCGGGUGUACCCAUAAUGACCCCCACUCAACUAAUCGAAGAGGAAAUCUCGUCUUUCUGGGUUCGACCGACAGUAAAUACAGUUGUGCCUCCUUCUACUACUCCUGGGUGAACUACUUCGGUAGAUACGAGUUUCUUACUCCGACUCGCUCCUCCUCCACACGUUGGAAACCCUGUAUUAAGACGGGUGCACGAUUGAAACAGCCCCACGGUAAACACUGGGCGGACUGUUCAUGGUACCAACUAGCCGAACAGUACUUUAACGGUUUCUCGGAUAGACACUCAACACCAUAGCUCGGAUUACUUCUUCCGAGUCGACCUUAUACGGAAUGACGUUCCCCGGGCAGUGGUGGACACGCAUGCCACACCUGUGCCCGCCAGCGUGUGUGAAUUCGAGUCAACCCACCUUCUCGAAGGAACAACCGUUCUUAGAAGCACAACCUGUCCGGUAGGAUUAAUAAUAGUUCUUAUGGGUGGCGGUUCCGAACUCCUACUACCAGCAGCAGCUAUAGUAGAUCUUGAUAUAUACACACACCAACAUACUGAUAGAUCAUAACGAAUAGUAUAUGAGGGAGACAAGCCUUAAUGAACAGCGUCUUUAUCUACAUAGAUCUGCAUAAAAUUAAGAUCUAUGUAGGUAAAAGCGCUGUUUAUUAAGGCUUGUCUCCCUCAUACGAUGACAUACUUGGUAUAUACACACACUCCUACGUACAACUGAUAUAUACUCAUGGAUAUUACGAAUUACUAUAACAUACUGAUGCCGUACUGAUAUUUACUC